GACGAACGCUGGCGGCGUGCUCAACACAUGCAAGUCGAACGGAAAGGCCCUGCUUUUGUGGGGUGCUCGAGUGGCGAACGGGUGAGUAACACGUGAGUAACCUGCCCUUGACUUUGGGAUAACUUCAGGAAACUGGGGCUAAUACCGGAUAGGAGCUCCUGCUGCAUGGUGGGGGUUGGAAAGUUUCGGCGGUUGGGGAUGGACUCGCGGCUUAUCAGCUUGUUGGUGGGGUAGUGGCUUACCAAGGCUUUGACGGGUAGCCGGCCUGAGAGGGUGACCGGCCACAUUGGGACUGAGAUACGGCCCAGACUCCUACGGGAGGCAGCAGUGGGGAAUAUUGCACAAUGGGCGGAAGCCUGAUGCAGCAACGCCGCGUGCGGGAUGACGGCCUUCGGGUUGUAAACCGCUUUCGCCUGUGACGAAGCGUGAGUGACGGUAAUGGGUAAAGAAGCACCGGCUAACUACGUGCCAGCAGCCGCGGUGAUACGUAGGGUGCGAGCGUUGUCCGGAUUUAUUGGGCGUAAAGGGCUCGUAGGUGGUUGAUCGCGUCGGAAGUGUAAUCUUGGGGCUUAACCCUGAGCGUGCUUUCGAUACGGGUUGACUUGAGGAAGGUAGGGGAGAAUGGAAUUCCUGGUGGAGCGGUGGAAUGCGCAGAUAUCAGGAGGAACACCAGUGGCGAAGGCGGUUCUCUGGGCCUUUCCUGACGCUGAGGAGCGAAAGCGUGGGGAGCGAACAGGCUUAGAUACCCUGGUAGUCCACGCUGUAAACGGUGGGUACUAGGUGUGGGGUCCAUUCCACGGGUUCCGUGCCGUAGCUAACGCUUUAAGUACCCCGCCUGGGGAGUACGGCCGCAAGGCUAAAACUCAAAGGAAUUGACGGGGCCCCGCACAAGCGGCGGAGCAUGCGGAUUAAUUCGAUGCAACGCGUAGAACCUUACCUGGGUUUGACAUGGAUCGGGAGUGCUCAGAGAUGGGUGUGCCUCUUUUGGGGUCGGUUCACAGGUGGUGCAUGGCUGUCGCCAGCUCGUGUCGUGAGAUGUUGGGUUAAGUCCCGCAACGAGCGCAACCCUUGUUCACUGUUGCCAGCACGUUAUGGUGGGGACUCAGUGGAGACCGCCGGGGUCAACUCGGAGGAAGGUGGGGAUGACGUCAAGUCAUCAUGCCCCUUAUGUCCAGGGCUUCACGCAUGCUACAAUGGCUGGUACAGAGAGUGGCGAGCCUGUGAGGGUGAGCGAAUCUCGGAAAGCCGGUCUCAGUUCGGAUUGGGGUCUGCAACUCGACCUCAUGAAGUCGGAGUCGCUAGUAAUCGCAGAUCAGCAACGCUGCGGUGAAUACGUUCCCGGGGCU
rnacentral:rRNA from 1 species